CAUCGCCUCUUGACUAACUAUAAGAGGUCCAGCCUGCCCAGUGACUUUGUUCAACGGCCGCGGUAUCCUAACCGUGCGAAGGUAGCGUAAUCACUUGUUCUUUAAUUGAGGACUAGUAUGAAUGGCAUCACGAGGGUUAUACUGUCUCCUUUUUCUAAUCAGUGAAACUAAUCUUCCCGUGAAGAAGCGGGAAUAAAAAUAUAAGACGAGAAGACCCUAUGGAGCUUUAAACUAAAUAACAAUUUGCUUUUAAUCAUUAUAUCUAAUAAUGAACACCUAUUCCAGCUCCUUGAUUAUUAGUUUUAGGUUGGGGUGACCGCGGAGCAAAAAACAACCUCCACGCUGAAUUGGAUUUAUUAUCCUUGAGUUAUGAGCCACAACUCUAUACACCAAUAAAUUGACAUCAAUUGACCCAAUAUUUUGACCAACGAACCAAGUUACCCUAGGGAUAACAGCGCAAUCCACUUCAAGAGCUCCUAUCGACAAGUGGGUUUACGACCUCGAUGUUGGAUCAGGGUGUCCCAGUGGUGCAGCCGCUACUAAAGGUUCGUUUGUUCAACGAUUGAAACCCUACG
rnacentral:rRNA from 1 species